UAAAUUAAAUACCAAAACAAACAGCUGACAGGACAUAAUUUAGACCAUCAUAUUUAGCAGGUGAGAAAUAAUAUCUGAUAGGCUUUGCAUUACGACUCUAAAAUGUUUGCGCACGUUUUUUGAGGCUGCUUUUUUUAAGAUCAUUGAUGAAAAAUCAAUUCCCUACCAAAUCCCGGAAGAAGCCAUUAGUCAAUUUUGUUAGCCUUUUCCCUUGAAUGUUUUAAGUACCUUGGAUGCAAGUGUUCUUCCUUGCAUAAAAAAUAUGUUAUAGAAAUCACAGAGCAAGGCAAAAGCAGCUGCUUUGGCAAUGGCUGCCUGCUCAUGCCCUGCUCUGUGAUCAAAUUAGCUCAUCCCAACAGUAAGCCAAACGAUCUUGACACAUUCAUUCAUCAAAUGAAACAGUAACGCAGACAAUCAACCACUUAAUCAACAAUUCCAUCAGAUGACAAAUUUACAAUAUGUUUCUGUUGUAUGUAUCAGAUUUUAUACAAAACAAGGAAAAGUGAAGAAAGUGUCCAUAUUACUUGAUUUCUUUCACAUAUAACUUCAUUUAUAUAUAGUCCAUGCUUAUUUGGUUUUUGGCCAAGCUCUCAUCUGUUAAAUUGAAAAUAAAUGAUCCUAAGAGAUAACAGACCUACUUCAAAAUCUCUUCUUUAAUUCGCAGCACUAUGAAGACAAUUGAGGCUGUUCCUUUUAGUCAAGUAGGAUCUAAUUUUUCUAAAUGGACAGUCAAAUCUAAGAAGAGAUAACAUCUUUAGUUUGGCAGCUUUUUCUUAAAUUAAUAGCUCCAAAAGUUUUUGCAUUACAUGCAAUUUCUUCCUUGUAAGAAAAGCAUUCUGUUGAGCAGAUGGCACGGCACCCAUUGGGCCAUUUUUAAUCAGGAGGCUAAACACAGUCCUAAGCAUAACAAAUGCAAGAAGGAAAUAGCAGAAGAUAAGAGCAAACAGAUGAUGCAAUCUCUUCCUUAAAAGAUAAAUUUGAAGAGAAAAUUUGGACUUUGGCUGAGUUUGUAUUUACUUAAAUUGUCAACUGAAUAAUAACUUGAGUUUGAUUGAAAACUUGGACUGAUGAAUCUCCAGAACAAGCAAAUUAUCAUUGUUGUAGAGAGGUUAUUGCCUGAUUAGAUGACUAU
rnacentral:lncRNA from 1 species